ACGACGGGGCGACCGCGUGCACGCCGACUGACGCGAAAGCGAUGGCGACGACGACGACGACGAUGCGCGAGGCG
rnacentral:rRNA from 1 species